rnacentral:rRNA from 1 species
UACGAAGGGGGCUAACGUUGCUCGGAAUCACUGGGCGUAAAGCGCACGUAGGCGGAUUGUUAAGUCAGGGGUGAAAUCCUGGAGCUCAACUCCAGAACUGCCUUUGAUACUGGCGAUCUUGAGUCCGGGAGAGGUGAGUGGAACUCCGAGUGUAGAGGUGAAAUUCGUGGAUAUUCGGAAGAACACCAGUGGCGAAGGCGGCUCACUGGCCCGGUACUGACGCUGAUGUGCGAAAGCGUGGGGAGCAAACAGG